UGUGGUUUAUGUGGUUAAUGGCCUCUAGGUUUCUGGGCUUAUGUCCAAGUGCCGGCCUCUAUGAGGUCACUUGUUCCUCAAAUGUAGCAUACUGGAUUGAUAUCAAAGAACGGGCUGCUAUGAGGUCACUGGUUCAGCACAUACAACAUGCUAGGAAGAGCGCCUCCAAGAUGUUCCAUCUAAUGCAUCAUGAGAUAGAUGAUUUGCAAGCUUUCUCAUCUUUCAUACAUGUGUGAAAAAACAUGAAAGGGCCUAGGAUUUCCUGAAGAACUGAGUACAUUCAAUCUAUAUUUUGAAGGCCAGUGAACAUCCAGCAAGUUCUAGAGUCUUUGACUGUGAAUGCUUUGGAUAAGCACAAGGACAGCAUUUAUGGAAGACGUCGUACUAUAGAGGUGAAUGCCACAUCAGUUCAAAGACCACCUUGCGAACAGACAGUACUGAUUCUAUUGAGAGGUUUCCUUAUUCUGAGACUUGCCUGGUCAGAUGUAAUAAAGGCAUGACAGGAGCGA